AAUAUUUGAAAUUGAAAAAUAAAUAAUAUCUAAUUCUGUUUCAGGAAACGUUCAUUUUGCAAGGUUCAACUCACAAAGAAGAAGAAGCUGAUGAUGAUGAUGAUGAUGAUGAUGAUCGUCAGACUUUUGACGCCAGUACUGUUCUUGAUUCUGUUGCUUCUGCUGCUGCUAGUGUUCAUGAUAAAAUACUGGAGCAGAGACUAGAAACUAAACAAGUUCAGGAUCCUGUAAAUAAGCCUUGUCCUGGCCUAGAGGUCAAGAUUGCGGAUUUGGGAAAUGCAUGUUGGGAGGAUCAUCAUUUUACGGAGGAUAUACAAACUCGUCAGUACCGGGCCCUGGAAGUUCUCCUAGGGGCCGGAUACGGUCCUCCAGCAGAUAUAUGGUCCACGGCAUGUAUGGCCUUUGAAAUGGCAACAGGUAAUUUCAGGGCCCACGAUGAGAAAAGU